UUAAUAAUCAAAACAAGAACUGAUGUAGGGUAUGUUUGGAUCUUCGUUUUGAGGUCCAAACGUGCCUUGGAAAUUGGAAUAAGUCAGUUG